CCUCUGAACUUCCAAGUCAAUGCAAUUUUUAACCACUGGCUUGUGGUACUUUGAAAAUCACCAGGGGCUGUCAGAGUUGGGUCCUCUGAAAAAUUUACAGUGCUAAAUCAGAGCAUAUGCUGUGAGAGAGGGGAAAAAAAUUGCUUAAGAUUGGAGCAAGUACAGUAUCUGUCUGCCCCCUAGUGUAAGUCUCUUAUCUGCCUAAAAUUCAACUUUAAAAGAAAAGGAUCUCUUAAAGGGAAACGACUUUUGGCUCACGUAUGCAUACGAGAAUGAAACUUCUGUGCAUUUUAAUCUGAUUAAUUCCUAAGGAUUUAAAAUUAAUUGGCUUGGACACUCCUAGACGGACAGUUAGAUUUCUGCAUCAGAGUUUCUCCAAGCAGUGUGUUGAAUAGGUAUUUUUAAGCGGGGGGGGGGGGGACGACUGGUUUGUGAUUUUUUUUUAAAUGAGAAGCCAUGCCUCUCAUGCUUUUGUCAGAACAGAGCAGUUUUGCUGCUUAAAGUCAGAUCUGCACCUUUUGCAAUAAAGAAGGAUAAAUAUUUGCCUUAAAGCUGCAGACCAGCUGCCAACUGCACCUUCCGAUGUAUGAAGAUAGAAAUAUGUUACCUACUGGGGCAGGUGGCAACAUUUUUGCUGUGAAGCCCUGGGAAAUAAUACACAUAAAAGAAUUUCAGAAAUGAAAGCUGUCUCUGCCAUCUUUUGUUUAAUUAACACAGGCAGUAAGGUACAAGUUCUUGUUGCCCAAUCCCCACCUUCAGCCAAGGGACAGGUAUGAGUAAUCCAUUGAAGGAAGAAAAUUAAAGACUAGAAGGUAAGCAAGGACUGAAGUAAAAUAGGCAUAUUCACGUGACAGGAACUGAUUCAUUUUUAUACCAAAAGAAGGUUUCCGAUGGGAGUUCUCACUGGCUUGGAAUUAUCGCAAUGGCCGAGGCUUGAUUCACUGCAAAGACAAGUACAUAAUUUAUUCACUGUUUAGUAUUAUUAUUAUUUCACUAUGGGAUCAAGUAGGAAAAAAAAGUUGGGUUCUCAAGGAGAAAGCCCCAGAUUUAGACACAAUUAGAGCAAGAGUAAAAUUUCAGGGCAAGUGGAUUCAGGUUCAAGUUGGAUUUUCCCCAGUGCAAAAGUUUAUCUUUAAUCCCCAGCCCAGUUACAAAGCUUUACUUGACCAUUUCUUGUUCUAUUCAGUAAAACGUAUAUUGUUACCAUAGCAACAGCUGCAUCAUUUAUACAUCAAAUUAUUUUAUCAGUUUGGCCCCUUGAGAUAUAGCAUUUCACUUGUAAGGGAUCCUAUAAUACACAUUAGUUAUGCUACCUCUUCCUUCUGAUGGGCUGAGUAAUUUUUUACGCUAUUCAUAUUUUACAGUGCAUUGAAACAUUUCCUUGCAUUUUAUUUGAAUAUCUUAGGAUGUUGCAAGGCAAUAAUACAAAGAUGCAAAAAUAGUUCUUGGCAUGUAAUAUGGACACGACUUACAUGCAUUGCAAUCUUUCCUUCGGCAGCUGUCAUUCCAGUCUAGAUUGUGAGAGCCUCCCUCACCGCAGUCUCAGACCUUUGCUGGCCCAUCAAAAUCAAGAAGCAAAAAAUGGCAUAACUAAUGUGUACUAUAGAAAUCAAUGGAACUGCUUGGGAGCACAAUUCUACUCAAUGUGAGUUAAGGUUGCACAAUUUAGGCCUCUAGUAAGUGUUACUACUAUUGCUACUUUGAACAAACUUUAUUAAGUAGUUUUGACUUAUUUAAAUGCAUUCUUUGAAAUGGCAAUACUAUUAAUAUAAUUCUUUCUUUCUUUGACUAUGUGAUUUGUCCUAUCCUAGGUAUCAUGAAGGGUUACUCUUGUCCCAGCUAGCAUUCAUUCAGAUACUCAGCUAAAUCUUCCAAUGGAGAUCCUCAGAUUUCACUUUAUGUGUCUGCAGGUAAUACACGGAGGGCUUCCGAGAUAAUGACAAGGUUGUAUGUAGGUAGAGAUAGCAACAAAGCUAGAUUUAUGCAUCAAGACUCAAAGCCUUUCUAACUUCUGGAUGGUUUGAUGCAUUCACUGAAGUCUGGCCAACAUGACCUGAGGGUAUUUGCAUUGUUGAGAAGCUUCCAAACAUUCUGCUUCCCUUUCUUCCUCUCUGUUUUCAACAAGUCCUGGAACUAUCUUUGAAGACAUUUAAGGUAAGAAAGGGAGCAUUAAUUUUUGUUGUGGGCAAGUAGUUAAUUUAUUUAGUUAUAUCUAGGAUCUAGUAGCACUGGAGCACAAAACACAGUAAUGUUGCAAAGAGAUUUCUGUAGGAACUCUGCCUCUUCCUCAGGAAGCUUUGCCCCUGUCUCUUUCUCUUUUUCUUUCAUUUUUGCUGUUCUCAUUCCUUGUCUUUGGUUAUUGCUACAAAGCUUUUGUAAAACCUGAGUAUGGUGAAUGGUUUGUUUGGAUUCAGUCCUAUCCCUUCCAGUACUUUUGUUCCACAGUUGAGGACACAGAAACCAAGAAUGCCUUAGCUCUGGCUCCUGUGAGUUUUGUCUAGCCGCCUGCAGGUGCAUCGUCCCAGAGAAACACAGCUGUUGCUAGAGGACACUCUCUGAUGUAGCUGGGCCUCAGCCCAUUUAUGUCAUAUGAUAUUGUUUCUCUGUCUUUUCCUGCUCAGAAGGAAAGCUGCUGCAUUCUGGAGAAGUGAGUUUAGUAACUUUCAUCUUCAACUCUGGAUACUGAGAACUGCUAAGGCCCAGCCUAAAAAUGAUGGACACACAGAUCAUUGUGGCCAGAUCCUCAUCUAAGAAGACUGGAGUUCAGGUUUGCUUUGUGGAGACCAGAGAAGAAGUAACCAAAAGAAAGGAAAAGAAACACUGGAGAAUAAAAGUACAUUUGAAAUGGAAGAAAUCUACAUUUCAAUGAAAAUACUUUUAAGCCAUUUCAGAUGACUGAGUGAAAUAAUUACAAAGUUUGGAAAUAGAGAACAGUAGCUUUGAUAUCUUUUUCUUCUGUGAAGCAAUUAAAAUAAGCAAUUUUUCAGAUACUAAGCAGAAAAUUGCUAAUGGCUGAACCCAAAAGCUUUCAUUUCGUUCUUGGGGUCUUUUUUCUUCUAAAAAAAGACCAAAAUAUAUUAAGGUGGUUUUCUAGAUAGAUAAAUGCAUAAAGCAGUUGUUAGUUGGAUGUCAUAAAAACUACAGCAGCACAGAAUAGCCGAGAUUAAGAGUCAGUUUUAAAUCAUGCAACAGUCCAGUUAAUAUCAAUGUAUAAUUAAGAAAAGCAUAAGAAGUCUCUAAUGGUGAUUUGAUGGAAAAAAACUCUAAUAGGGUUUCUUUUGGAAUUUUCCAUUUCAAUCACUCUUGUCGAAAUUUAAUGGAUUUCCUACCCUGUCCUUGGCAUUCGUGGGAAUUAUCCAAAAGUUAAAAUCAAGCCCUAAAAUGGAACACAGGUAGACAAAUUAGCCCAUCUGGAGAGCAGUCUUUAUAGAAUGACAAUGUGAGCUCAUGCUGAAAAUUUAGUACAAAUGUCUCAAAUCUGGUGUGAAAACCCUAUUUGCCAUAUAAUCUUAAGCAGUGUAAUACUAAGCCAUUUCCUUACCUUUCUAAUCCUGCUGAAAUUCCGAACAAUUCAGAAAUACUAAACUAUGGGCUAUUAAACAUAACUAAUUAGUCUAUUUACAUGGUAAGGUUUUCUCCAGUCAUGCAUAUUAGUAGUACAUUGAGGUGGGUUCUUCCACUGCUGACAGAGAGAUUUAGAGUACACAGUUCCCCAUUAAUGUCAUGGAGUUUCAUGAAUCUCCCACUCGUCACAGGAUAACUAGAUCCCUUGGCUCACCCAUGUCCUAGAUCCCUUGAAUGAAACUAAAGGGGUGGCACCUGCCGUACCAUAGAAAUCAUCACGGAAGUGUGGCCAACUACCCCUAUAGAACAGAUGCUGCUUUCAUGGCUGUGCCUUGAAUGUCUAGGGUGCACUGAAGUUGUAAAAUUAACAACAGUGUGUAGCUAUCUUAGCAUGUAUGCAACCGCUUAGCAAAGAGGGAAGAAGGACUGGCAUUGGAUUAAAGCACAAUAUAUUUGUUGCCAUCACUUUGUUGUUGGCCCAAUGAAAGCUGAGGGAAUUAUCUCCAGAAUCCAGGAAGACUGCAAACUGAAAAUAACCUAGUACCUCAGAAGCAGGCAUAGCAGAGAGUGAUUUUAUACUUCAUUAGAACAUAUUAGACUACAAUACACCGACCAGAGUAAAACAAGGUCCAUUUUUCCAUCUGUCUAUAUAUUCCUUUCCAAUACUAAAUCUGUCUGGAGACCUUUCAAAAUUAUAUUAUUAAACACUGCCCCUUUCCUUAGCAAAAAAAAAAAAAAGCUGAAAAGAAUGGAGAUAAACCAGGAGUAACAUACAACAGUGAAAAUUCUACAGUCUGAUUCACCAUUACUACUUGAGUCAUCAUGGUCCAAAUUCACCCGUGGUGUAAUCCCAUUGAUAAAUCAGGGAUGAAUAUGGGCCUAUUAUUUUAAAGUGUGGUGGAGAGGCCAUUGUGAUAAACUGAGGUUCUUUUAAUUAAUACUCCUCUGGCAGAAAUAGAAGGGAGCUAUUGGCAGGGCAUCCUCAACAAUGAAUCACAUUUCCCCCCACUUUAGACAACCAGUGGGCCCAACCUAUGCUGAAAAUCUGAUCUUUUCUUCUAAGCUGCAUGUGAACAGGUAGGUGUGUUGGGUAAAGAUCCUUUUAAAUGGUUGCUCAAGACAGAACAUUGGUGAUUCUCAGCUCAGCUUUCAAUGUAUUCAUGCAAUUCUUUGAAACAAAGUCAGUUAACUGAGUCUUUUCUAGCAACUGUUCAUAACAGAGGUAAGCUAUACUGAUAAAACGUGAAAAAAGGGCUUCCAAACUUGUCCGACACACAUGGCAGAUAGACCCCAAAUGGGUGAGGAAACUUUCUCCACUCCUACAUAAAAGCCAUUCAUCUUUAGAGCUCACUAUAAUUGUUUUCCAGACCUCUCACAUGGAACUCAAAUGAGAAGAUUGAAAUAAACCAAUGUAUCAGUUACUUGAGUCUAACAUAUACGUAGAAAAGACAGCAUUUCCUUUACUAAAGUCCAUUGCAAUUGAAAUUGCUCGAAGAUGAGUAGGUGGACCAGGGGAUAGAUAAUGGGAUACAGAUCUUCUUAUUUCUAGGUCUCUAAUCAAGUGCAGCUAGACAGUGAUGCAAAAAGUAAUUAUCUAUCUGAUGAAAGAGAGAGGUAACGCUGUGGGAUAUAUGGGUAUAUGCCUUUGGAUGCGAAAUCUGAGAGUUGAAUGGAAAUAUCUGUCAGACCUGCAAGGCCUAGUUUGGGUAUAAGAGGGAAGAAAAAACAUUUUAACAUUAGGUAAAUUCAGUGCUAUGAAAGAUCCUAGGGACAAUGAGAGUGAAGUCCUCUAUCUUAUGAUAAACUGUUCAGAUCUGUCCUAUCUGACUGCCUCCUGCUGUCAUCCUCCCAUUAUCACUCCCCUUUGUUCCCUCCUCAUCUCUUCCCUUUAUCUAUAUUGUCCUGGCCUCUUCUACUCCCAUGCCUACAAUUCCUUUUAGCAUCAUAUACCCUCCCACACUCAAGUAUAUACAAUAUUUUUUGCAACACUCAUCUCUAUUUCCAUCUUUGUAUAUACGUAUAUGCAGUAGACUGCAAAAGGCAGUGAAGAAUCAGACCCAACAUAUAUCUAUGCAUUUGUCUCUUGACAUACAUACAUACAUAUAUACAUAUGUUGUGGAACCUAUAUAUAUAUUCAUCUUGAAGGUUCCACAACGUAUGUAUAUAUGUAAUGAACCUUCAAGAUGAAUGUAACAACGACUAAAUAUCUGUGCUCACCAUAUGCCCAGCUCAUCAUUUGUUUUUGCCUCUCAUUGCACCAUUUGUCUGUAUUUCAGACUCCUCAGGGCAAGGACCAUCUCUUAUAAUGUGUUGAUAUAGCACUUAGCACAAUGGGGUCCUGGUCCAUGAAAUGGGACUCCGAUCGUAACUGGGGGCUUUGAGUGCCCUCAUAAUAGAAAUAAAUAAUAUGACUGGUAAAGGGGAUCUCUCAGUUUUCUUUGGUGGGAGAGCCUUUAGACUGGUGUUUGUGUAAUUGGAAAGUUGAAUAAAAACAUCAAUACACUGUACUUUUUUAAAAAGCACAUGUUAAAAUUUUGGGAGGCACCUGCUAAAUUGAAAACCAAAAUAAAUAAAAACUGAAUACCUACAGAAUAAGAUCAGCAAUAUAAUCAUCCAGCUUCACACCACAAAUGCACCCCUAUAUUGUCCUGGAGUAACCAAUUUAAGGGAUGAAGGUAAAAUUCCAUUUCCAUAUCCAGGGAGAUCUUAUCCCCAUCAUCCAAAUUGUCACCCUGGCUGGUUCUCUUGGCGGAGAUGUUAGGUUCACCUACAUCACUUUACUUUCUAGAAAAAGGAUAGAAUAGCCCUACCAGUUCCAGCUUCCACCUGGGAAUACUCCUAUGCAACUUCUACUCCAUAGUCCCAGGCCGGCUGGAGUGAUUGCCACCACAUGAUCACUGUACAGCUGGCAGGAAGAGAUGAAACUGCUCAUUUCCAUCUGUGACAUUUCUCAGCCAGGAAGAAAGCUACAAGGCAUCAAACUGUAGGCUGAGAGGCAUCAGUGCGGCCACCUGUUAGAGAUACUGAUAAAGAAAAAACUUGGUAAAAUAUAGAGCUGUGAAGAACUGCUAGGAAUAAAACAAACUGAUAAAGAGGAAGUGAUGGUGCCUUCUUACCACCAACCACCAUUUACAGCUCCCAUCAGAGGUCAGAACCCAGGAGGACAGAAACAAAUACAAGCCUUUAUGUAAAACAGAUUACAAGAGACACAUUGGAGGUGUGGAUAGCACAGAUCAGCUGCUACAGGCAUAGGACACAAUAUCUUGUACUGUUAAAAAUGUUGGGGAAAAUGGAAGUCCAUAUGGCCCAAUUAGCGAUGCACAAUGCUUUUGCUAUAAACCAGAAAAUAGCACCUGAAAGGCUGUUGUCAUUUCUGGACUUGCAAACAUAUGUCAUUUGCAGCCUUAUAUUUGUAAGUGCAGGCCUCCCUGACUUUGAGGGGGAAAGUCACAGAACACUGAGUUUGCUACAAGGAAAUCACAUUUCCCUCCACAUAAUGUAGUAAAUAGCAAGAGUCUGCCAAACUUAUCAGAUUCAAAGAGAAGAGGCAAAAAUUCUUAGUUGAUAUAAGUCAUCAUAACUCUAUUGACUCGGGGCAGGGGUGAAAGAACAAUUUCCAGCAGCUGAGGAUUUGCCCCUGGAACUUAGACUAGCGUUCUGGGGAGUUUCAUGAAAUUGACUCAAACAUUUGCCAAUAUAGGUCAAAUUUGAAUAGGUGCCCAGUUUUUCUCCUAGCAACAUAUUUGCCAGAGGAAAUGAGACUCCAGGAGGUAAGUUCUUCUUUUAAUGUGCACAUGUAACUUACAGGAAUGGGAAAUGUAUCAAGUGGAGAAUCUAUUCCUUGGGUACUUAUUUCUUCCAGAUUAAAGCAGAAUUGUGGCUAAUAAAUUGUUGAGGUGUGAAGUGCAUUUGCACCUCUCACAAGAUGUAGCUGGUCCAAAUGCCAGGGUAUCACUUUUCCUUUUAAUGUUCAAUAAAUUUUUCACAGGCCUGGCGUUAGCUAUAGGUAUGAAAUGCAAAUUUGUUUCAGUUUUCUUGCUGCCUGAAUGGAAGUGAAGUAAGCAUAUAAAGGGCCUGAUUUUCAGCCCUGAUGUCAUUGCAUGUGUGUGUGUGUGUGUGUGUGUGUCCAUCUGCUCACCUAUGUUGUCCACACAGAAUCGCAUAUAUGUGUGCAAGUCUCCAAUGUGUUUAUACUUGAAGCUAGAUGACUGGGCAUCCAGCCACAUGUCUAUAAAAUUGUGGAAUUUGUGUUCAUGCACAGAUGUGCACCAAUGCCAUGCCAGGUCUCAGACCAGAGCACUCAGAAUUCUGACACUUGCAGAGGAAGCUGAUGGUUCAAGCAAUAUUCAGGUCAUUCUAUGGUGCUGAUGAUUCUCACAAAUCAUGAUACACUUGAGACACAGCAUGAUUAGUACUCAGGGCACAAGACUGGGACUUGGGAUACGUGGAUGCUAUUCCCAGCUCUGCCACUGCCCUGCUGUAUGCCCAGGGUAAGUCACUUCAUAUCUCUGUGCCUCUGAUUCUCCUCCUACCCUUUGCAUGUCUUAUCUAUUGAGGGUGAGAUUUUCAAAGGUACCUGAGCGAGUUAAGAGUCAGUGCAGCUUGUGCUCCUAAUUCAUUCAAGCACUUUUCCCCCACUCUUUGUGGGUUACAUCUAUUUAGAUGGCAAGUUCCUUAGUACAAGGACGUGUUUGACUUUGUACAAUGCCCAACACAAUGACCAUUCUGAGAUGGGACCUCUAGGUGCUAGUGUAAUACAAAUAAUACAUAUAUUGUUUUUUAAAAAAAAUAGUUUAUAUUCGGGUAGAAUUUUAUGACAUAUGAACAUCAACCAUAAUGACAGCUAAGGAAUUUAAUUCUUCCUGCCUAUAUGCAGUACUUUAUUAUUCCAUAACAUGGACUGUUUUGCCAGUAUUUAUUUUGGUGGUGUGUGUACACUACAAUUUUAAAAAGGGUUAAGAUGUCUCAUAUUAUAACAUAAUAAUGGAGUUACACAUUCAAAUUCCUUACAUUUUAAAAAACAUACAGUAGGAAGAGCUACCCUGAAAAGGUCACUGAUUGAUCUAAUUUGUUAACCUGACUCUAGAAGUUGCCAAUACUUGUGCCUCAUUACUGGUAACACCUAGAUUAAUGGAAGCAACAAAGAGUCCUGUGGCACCUUAUAGACUAACAGAUGUAUUGGAGCAUAAGCUUUCGUGGGUGAAUACCCACUUCAUCAGUUUAAGGUCUGAAGAGACUAUCAGCUCAUCUAAUGUGACAUGUAUAACACAGAUCAGAGAAUUGCAUCACGACUGGAGCAUAUCCUUCCAGCAAAACAUCCAAUUUUGAUUUGAAGACUUCAUAAGAUGGAGAAUCCACCACUUCCCUUGGUAGUUUUUUCCCUCACUGGUAAAAAUUUGUGCCUUAUUUCUAAUAUGCAUUUGUCUGGAUAUAAUUCUAGCCAUUGGUUCUUAUUAUGAUUGUCUCCACUAGAUUAAACACCCCUUAAUACCCAGUAUUUUCUCCCUGAGAAGGCAUGUAAAGCUUUCACACUACAUAAUAUAGGAGGACGAAUUAUGCAAUUCUACUGCAUCGAGGAACACAUUUAGUGCUAACCCAAUGCUGGAACAAUGUAUGCUCCAAAUGAUGGGAUUUGAUAUCCAUGUAAUUUUUCAAUCUAUACAGUGAUAUAGUACUGAUAUAAAUACGUAACCUUUCCUUGAACACCUCUAAACUACUAUUCUCUUCAAUAGUCUCCCACCAGAGUGAAUCCCAUAGGUUGUUCGCAUCUGAUAUGGCUUUUUAAACUAUUCUUGUCUAUCCCUUUUAUAUAUAUGCUCUUAUAAUUUCUCAGGUUUCCAGCUGUUCUGAACUUGUAGGAUAUUUUGAAGCGAUGUAUCAAAUCAGCGUUCACCAUUACCAUGCUACAUUGCUCUAUUAACUCUCUUCUUUGUUCAGGACUAAAUCAUUUUAGGCUUCUUAAUUUCUAUACACAUAGAAUAUCAACCCCCCAGCCAAAAAGCCACAAAGCUCUUUCCUAUAUUGUAUAUGUUGUUUUGGAUAAAAUGAUCAAAACCAAAAGAGUAUUUGAAGUGCACAUUCCGAUCAAAAUGUUUGGGCCAAGUCAGUGGAACUAUGCUGAUUUACUCCUUCUGAUGAUCAGGUCCCAAAAUGCCAUCAAUUUUUUUGGUAUUGUUCAAAUAUCCCAAAGCAACUUCCUUUCCACCCUUUUUAACUGAGACUUUCUGUUGCUUUUCUUGAGACCGAAGAGGAAUGUCCAUCCAGUAUGUUUACCGUUAACACUAAUAGUGACUUUAAUUAAAUUUAUUUGAAGAUAAAUAUUCUGAUAUAUCCUAAAGUUUUCAGCUUGAGAUGACGCAGUUUUGUUUGAAUGUAAUUCAGAUCUAGUAUCAUAUGUGGUGAGUUCAUUCCAGACAAAUGGUUAAAAAAAUCCAGUGUGUCAGAACUUCAGGCAUUGUACACUGGGGAAAGUUACUGGCAGAAUGCAUACUUUGGAGCAUUUUUCCAUUAUCACAUGGGAUUCUUAGCCCUGAGAUUGUUCUGCUUGAAACACGCAUCUCCUUGGAGAAUCUGAUAAAGAUACUGCGUAAUAGAGAGAUCAGAUUUCCAGUACUCUUAGGAAUGACUUUCACAAGGGUAGGAAGAAACAUAUUUCCCAUUUUGGGAAAUAGAAGAAGCCACUCUCAACAGAAAGAAAAGUUUAAGAUUGCAAAAGAAACAUCAGGGCUGGAAUGUUAUGGGAGUUAUAUACCUCUGUAGCAAUCAGUGUGGUUUGUACAGGAUAUCAGUGUAAGUGGCUAUUGAAUUAAGAGGCGUCCUUCCUCUGUAAUUUACACUACAAAUUCAGUGUAAAAAAUUCCGAUGUUUCAUCAGACUAAUUCCAUUACCUUACUGAGUGACAGAAAUUGCAUUUGUUUUCUUUAGGCUCUAAAAUACAGACAUAAUAAACCAACAGAAAGAAAAGGGCGGGGGGGAUGGGAGAGUGAUCCUGAUUUUUUUCAGGGAUGAGAGAACCCAGAAUAUUUGGGUUAGGAAAUAAGCUGAAUAUUUAAGAAAGCCAAACUUUUUGAAGUCUGUGUUCUGGUUAGACUUCUGUUUGCAGUUCUGCAUUGUAUAAUUAAAAGAAACAUACAGAGAACUCACAUGAAUUUUAGCUUCUGCCAAAAGAUGCAUUGUUCAUGGUUGUUCUACUAAUUUUUGCUUUAACCCAUAAAAUACUAAUAUUUUCCAGUCUGACAGACAAACUAAUGCUUAGGAAAGGUGUGUGUUUGUGGGUGUACAUACAUGCAUUAUGUCUGCCACAUCUAUCCCCAGUGAGACAAUAUGAGUAGUUGCUCAGAUCUGGUCAUUCUUUGAAGACAUGCGUUAAAAUCAUCACACUUAUAUAGUACUCAGGUUACUAAAGCAUUGAGAAAGAGUAGAUUUUUCUAUGCAAUUGUUAUUUAAUAUCUGUCUGAAGUAUUUGAAUCUCAUUGAAAAUGAAAUGUAUCCCAAAUAAACUGUUUUCAUUUGUAUCUAAACGUUCUUCAUA